AUUAUAAAUAAUGUUUUAGAGGGAGAUCGACAGACAGACGAACAAAAAAAUAUAUUUGUAUAUUAUGUAUAAAUAUAUAUAUAGAGAGAGACAGAGAGAGAGAAACACGCAGGCAGAGCUACUAAAGUUAUACAUUUCACUCGAGGCUACAAACUACAACUUUGAAUAAACGUUGCCAGUAGUCGGCUUACUUAGCGACGGGAUAAUCUGUAAAGAGGAUUCCAUUGAAAGGAUAACAACAAACAAAUUUGAAGAUAAUUCCAUGCUAGCCAAACUUUCUGCCAAACUUUCUGCAGAAGAGGCUGAAGAUGGCAGCAGGCAUAACUCGAAUGUGACCAUGGAACGACAGUCCAGAGCGCAUGAAACUGAUGAUAAGAUCAAUACUACAAAUAAUAAUAAGGUGUUUCUUCGAGUCCGAAGAUUUAUAAGGAAUGCAGUAUUUCACGUUGCUACGCAGCUCCAUCAUGACCUACAUAUUUUGCCACAUUCAGGGCAAACAUAACCAUUGUCCGCCAGUGGUUGAUUAAGAUUUUCUUUUUGCCUUCUGCUUCUGUCCUUGGCAGCGGAUUUUCUUGUGGUCUCCAUCUGUCUCAUUUUGAAGCCGCAUGCAACCAGGUGCUCUCUUCUAGUUCGG